GAGAGGCUGAGGAGUACGUACCAAGGGACAGUUUGUGAGACUCUGGCCUUUUGAGAAGGUGAAUCAGCGUGUGUUAGCUCAGGGCAGAGGGCCUGGCGGUGAGACGUGAGAACAGCCAAUGUCAUGGCGGUGGGGGAGUGGACGUGAGCCAUCUGGGGCCCAGCAAACAGCAUGUUGAAAAAAACGAGGAACUCAAAGGCAGAUGAGCCUACCACGCUGGGAACAGUUGGGAGUACAUUGCUCAAGCCCCGGCCAGUUUUAUGUCACUGCUGGUGUGAAGCAGUGAACAGUGACCCAGCAUGCAUCCAGGUGGCGGGACAGAGUCAGACUCUCCAGGGCAGAGAGACUCUAAAACUGACGGCCAGGUCUUGCUCAGACUACGGGCCUGAGGGAAGAUCCAAGACUGAAACAGGUGCCGGAGAUUACAUCCAGGUUGCUGGUCUUGGUGGUGAACAAUACCCUUGCUUACCCCCAAGCCUUCUCACUAACCCUGACGCUCUUUAUACAGGGCUUGGAAUGGAGGGGGUGGAGUUGAGGAGAUCACAGAGGACCUAGGAGUGUGUGUAUCGGAGAGAGAUAGGAAACCACUGACCGUUCAGCACACAUUCAGAAUUACUGCCUGUCCCAGGGAGGGACCCACAGCUCCGGCGCUCCGUUCAGCAUCUGGAAGAGCAUAGCUCGCUGUGAGCGGCCGCCCCAGAAGACUGUAUCCCACCCAGCCAGCUCUCCUGCCUGCUUGCCUCUGCCCCACACCAGGACACUUCAUACUGUCAGAACCACUGGGUGUGUGAGCUUGUGAGAGGGUGUGUGGGCACACAUGUCCCUGUGUGGGGUGUGGAGGUCAGAGGGCAACUUGGAGGAAUUGGUUCUCUCCUUCCACCACUGGGGCCCAGGAAUCAAGCCGAGGUUCCCAGACGUGGUAGCAGCCUCCCUUACCUGUUAAACCAGUGCUUCCCAGACUUCCUAAUGCUGUGACCUCAUGCUGUGCUGACCCCCGCCCAUGACAUUAUCUCUGUUGGUAUUUUAUAACUGUAAUUUUGCUACUAUUAUGAAUCACAA
rnacentral:lncRNA from 1 species